CACGUAGGGUGCGAGCGUUGUCCGGAAUUAUUGGGCGUAAAGAGCUCGUAGGCGGUGUGUCGCGUCGGCCGUGACAACCUGCAGCUUAACUGUGGGCGUGCGGUCGAUACGGGCAUCACUGGAGUUCGGCAGGGGAGACUGGAAUUCCUGGUGUAGCGGUGAAAUGCGCAGAUAUCAGGAGGAACACCGGUGGCGAAGGCGGGUCUCUGGGCCGAUACUGACGCUGAGGAGCGAAAGCGUGGGGAGCAAACGGG
rnacentral:rRNA from 1 species